rnacentral:rRNA from 1 species
AUUGAACGCUGGCGGCAGGCCUAACACAUGCAAGUCGAACGGUAACAGGAAGCAGCUUGCUGCUUCGCUGACGAGUGGCGGACGGGUGAGUAAUGUCUGGGAAACUGCCUGAUGGAGGGGGAUAACUACUGGAAACGGUAGCUAAUACCGCAUAACGUCGCAAGACCAAAGAGGGGGACCUUAGGGCCUCUUGCCAUCGGAUGUGCCCAGAUGGGAUUAGCUAGUAGGUGGGGUAACGGCUCACCUAGGCGACGAUCCCUAGCUGGUCUGAGAGGAUGACCAGCCACACUGGAACUGAGACACGGUCCAGACUCCUACGGGAGGCAGCAGUGGGGAAUAUUGCACAAUGGACGCAAGCCUGAUGCAGCCAUGCCGCGUGUAUGAAGAAGGCCUUCGGGUUGUAAAGUACUUUCAGCGGGGAGGAAGGGAGUAAAGUUAAUACCUUUGCUCAUUGACGUUACCCGCAGAAGAAGCACCGGCUAACUCCGUG